GACCAGUGUAGGAACAGGGAUGGACGGUGUCCAUCCUUUCUGCUGGAUUUGGCAGAAAACUGUGCCUCUAAGAGCCAGGUUUUAAAACUUGGAUACUAGUUAUCCCUAACGAGGAUAAUUGGAUCCCUCUUUUUCAAAUCAUAGACUUAAGAAUUUGUUUACUAAAAUGUGCUGUUCCCUAAAAUUAAUUUUAUUUUUAACUUUCUUCUAUAGCUGGUAGUCAUGAAGAUUCGGCUACUGAAUUCAGGUCCCAAACAAUAAGUCUUGCUUCAGCCUGGAUCCUGGAAAGAAGAAGACUUAUGGAACAGAGCUAUAAACAACUUACACCCAACUAUCAGCCCAACAGGAUCUGUCACAUGGAUAACGGCACCCAUUUUACAGAGGAGCAAGCUGAGACCAGAAACACGAAGUAACUUGUCUUAUUCCAUGGAAGAGUCAGUUCUUAGAGUAGACGCCUCCAAGCUGAAACCCUGACUGUGCCGUCUCCAGACAGGGAAGCCACAGAGAGGAAAUCUAGCAAUUUUGAGCAUAAACUCUGGAGCCAGACUCCCUAGGGGUAGAGCCCAGAUCUGCCUCUGCAACCUGUGCCAAUCCAGGAAAUGCUUUAACCUCUCUGGGCCCUGGGUUCCUCAGUUGCAAAACAGAGACGUAAUAAGGUAAGAAAGGAGAAGGACAUCACAAGAGGUACUUUGUUUCCUCAGCUGGGACCAGAACCCCAGGCUGUGAGCUCACCCCAUACAGAGAAUUUCCACCUCUGAACAAGGAAGAAUAGGAUCUGCCGAGCACCAGAGGCUAAGUGGGAAGAAGGGAUCAAAUCCUAACUGUCCAGGCUCGCCUCUCACCAUGGAAACACGGCCUGGCUGCACGCAGACACCGAGGGCCACACCGGAGUAUACAUUUACAUUGGGAGAAGCAGAUGAAUUCGCUCAAUUCACUAACACUCUUGUUUAAUUUGGAGCUUUGAGCGCCCAACUGCCAAGUGAAAUGGCUGUCUUAGAAAGCUCCUGUGUAUUUUAAAGGAACAUUGCAUGCAUUUUAA